rnacentral:lncRNA from 1 species
AUGGUAAUUAUAGUUGUUCAUAUAAAUAGUGUCGGAUUGUUGCUGCUAAUUAUUAAUUUUAAAAUUUCAUACGGUUAAAAAGAUACAAUUAAUUUAUUUAAAACGUAUAAACACAGUCUCCCACGGAUUUCGAAUGUGACUUAGCCCAACUAACAUUCCACAACUUCGAACAUGACUUAAUCCAAUUUGACCUCCCGCCAUUUUGAAUUGACUCAACCCAAUUUGGUUUCCCACCACAAAAAUAUAUGCUGACCCUUCUAAGCUAAUAAUUAGGAUGCCAUGUU